GUUGAAUAAGUAAAUAUACCGUAGACAGUAGGUGCGUAAGCGUAACGGGCAACCAACCUACCGAGGGUUCCAAUAUAUGAUGAGGUAUAAUUGGUUUCUCUGUGUCUACGGAGAAACCUUUAAUUUUUAUAUA
rfam:Clostridium tetanomorphum DSM 665 contig93, whole genome shotgun sequence.